AGUUAGUUUAUAAAUAAAAUAGAUAUGAUUAAAAACGUUUUUGAUUUCAUUGAUUAGAUUGAAAAAUAGUAUUGCACUUGCACUAGCUUUGUCAGGCAGCUACGUUGUUUAAAGACAGUCGAACAGGUCAUUUCCCGCUCAAGUUGGAAAGAAUGUUGUGUAUUACAACUCAGAUAAGUUGACGAAUUACUGCUACUUGCGCAGCUAAAUUUCACAUAAGUUCAAAAACAUGAUUAGAAAUGAAAAACGUUUGGACAACAGAAGGUUCAGAUAAACAAGGUACCACAGUCAUCACAUGUUACAUACAUUGUAGUGACCUACUCUAUGUCCGAGAUCAACUCUAUAAUGUUCCAUGUAGUUUAAUCGAUCGAUCUUUGUCGUCGUCAUAAACAUAAAGAAGAUGGGUGGUCUUUGUCGUCUAUUCUCCGCGAGAUAUUUUAUCCUCAAAAACCGAUUGUGUUUGACGUUGGCCGUCGUUUCUAUCGUCCUGGGUUACCUGACAGGCUUGUAUUAUUGCAGUGUAUUUAAAGUCUAUUCGGACACUGAUCUGUCGGCGUCCUCUACUGCACGACUAUCCGCAGUCGAAUUUUGGAACGAGG